rfam:Ailuropoda melanoleuca scaffold819_7, whole genome shotgun sequence.
GGGUGUUGGGGGUGAUCUAGCAGUGAUAUGUCACUCCAUUGAUCGCCAGGGUGGAUUUGGCUGAUCUGGCUAGCUAGACAGGCGUCCCCUUCCUCCCCCUUCCACGUGCAUCCCUCCUAUAGCUGUGCGCUCAAAGAGGAUGACCUUCCCAGAUACUGUUCUUCCAUCAAGGAUAUAUGAGAAGCUGCACACCUGUUAGAACCUCCAAACAAGUUCUCAAGUUCAGUUUGUAGGAGAAUGUAGGGUAGUGAAGAUUCCAAGACUCCAGAAUGUAGGGUAGUGAAGAUUACAAGACUCCGAAUGAGGCACCGCAUGUGGCUGUCUGCCUUUCUUU